rnacentral:rRNA from 1 species
ACGCAAGGUUGCGCCCGAAGCCUUUAGGUCGAGGGCACGCCUGCCUGGGCGUCACGCAUCGCGUCUCCCCCCACCCCCCUUCAGUGGGAGGGGCGGAGGAUGAUGGCCUCCCAUGCCUCACCGGGUGUGGAUGGCCUAAAUACGGAGCCCCCGGUUAUGAAGUGCCGCGGCAUAGGUGAGAUACAAGGCCUAGCCUAGGAUACAUCGGAGUCGUGCACUUUUUAGCUUUUGAGGACUCGCAGGACCCUAAGUUUGCUUGCCCAUUGGGGCAUCAAAACCGUUGCGACCCCAGGUCAGGCGGGGCUACCCGCUGAGUUUAAGCAUAUCAAUAAGCGG